rnacentral:hammerhead_ribozyme from 1 species
AUGCAUCUGAAGAAUCCCAAAUAGGACGAAACGCGCAUCCUGUAU